GUGUGUGUGUAUAAUCCAAUGUGUAUUUAUAAUUCUUUACACUGGUGAAUCACGUGUGUUAUGAACACACAUCAUCUAAAAAGAGGAGGAGUUCUUUAUAUCAAUGGAACACAAUAGCGAUCAGAUAUUCACAUUCAGAUCUGUCAGAAUGUAUUAAGAAUAAAUAGAUGUGUUAUUGUUUGGAUUCUCACAGUUCUGUGGUACACUCCAUGAAAUAUUUUUUACAAAUAAGUGAGAUAGUUGAAUAUUUGCUGAGUUGAAUAUAUGCUGAGUCAGCUUCUCCUGAAACAACAGUUCAUAUUCUGUUCUGUUAAUCUGUUCCACGGCAAUAUAUUUCUUAUCUACAUCUUUCAACUUGAAGAAUAUGGGCAAUAGCUGUCUUAGAAAUUUUUGUGGCUCUUGUGUCACUCAAAAUCAUAACAACUUGUCAUUGAAUGAUUUUAAAAAAAGUGAGGAAUGGAAUAUUACCUGGUAUUAUGUUCCAUUUUCAAAAGAAUGUCAAAACAAGAAUUGCACACAAAUUUUUCAUAUUUCUACACGUACCAAAAAUUUUAAUACCAGUAAUAAUUGAUCUGCUGACAAUAAUAUAAUAAUAUCAAUUAUAAUGAUGUUCAUGAAGUAGGUAGAGUGAUCAUAUUAAUUACCCUAGUACCACAAACAACAACAAUAACAAUAAUAAUAAUAAUAAUAAUAAUAAUGGUGCUAAUAAAGAUUGUAAUAGUAUUGAUGAUCAUCAUAAUGACUAUGAUAAUAAUAAUAAUAAUAAUAAUAAUAAUAAUAAUAAUAAUAAUAAUAAUAAUAAUGAUAAUAAUAAUAAUGAUUAGGUGUAUGGAAAACACUUGGCGAGAAACGGAAGAAAAUUUGAAGAAAGAAGGAAAAAACAU